rnacentral:rRNA from 1 species
AGUGAACGCUGGCGGUAGGCCUAACACAUGCAAGUCGAACGGCAGCACAGUAAGAGCUUGCUCUUACGGGUGGCGAGUGGCGGACGGGUGAGGAAUACAUCGGAAUCUACUUUUUCGUGGGGGAUAACGUAGGGAAACUUACGCUAAUACCGCAUACGACCUACGGGUGAAAGCAGGGGAUCUUCGGACCUUGCGCGAUUGAAUGAGCCGAUGUCGGAUUAGCUAGUUGGCGGGGUAAAGGCCCACCAAGGCGACGAUCCGUAGCUGGUCUGAGAGGAUGAUCAGCCACACUGGAACUGAGACACGGUCCAGACUCCUACGGGCGGCCGCAGCGGGGAAUAUUGGACAAUGGGCGCAAGCCUGAUCCAGCCGUACCGCGUGGGUGAAGAAGGCCUUCGGGUUGUAAAGCCCUUUUGUUGGGAAAGAAAAGCAGCAGGUUAAUACCCCGCUGUUCUGACGGUACCCAAAGAAUAAGCACCGGCUAACUUCGUG